GAUGAACGCUAGCGGCAGGCUUAACACAUGCAAGUCGAGGGGUAUAUAGGAGCUUGCUUUUAUAGAGACCGGCAAACGGGUGCGGAACACGUACGCAAUCUGCCCUUAUCUUGGGGAUAGCCCAUAGAAAUGUGGAUUAAUACCCAAUAGUAUAUUUGGAUGGCAUCAUUUAAAUAUUAAAGAACUUCGGAUAAGGAUGAGCGUGCGUAAGAUUAGCUAGAUGGUGAGGUAACGGCUCACCAUGGCAACGAUCUUUAGCUGAUGUGAGAGCAUGAUCAGCCAACCGGGAAAUGAGACACGGGCCCGACUCCUACGGGAGGCAGCAGUGAGGAAUAUUGGUCAAUGGACGGAAGUCUGAACCAGCCAUGCCGCGUGAAGGAUGAAGGCGUUCUGCGUUGUAAACUUCUUUUAUCAGGGAAGAAACCACAGAUUUCUAUUUGUGUUGACGGUACCUGAGGAAUAAGCACCGGCUAACUCCGUGCCAGCCGCCGCCGUAAUAC
rnacentral:rRNA from 1 species